ACGAAAGGUGCGAGCGUUAAUCGGAAUUACUGGGCGUAAAGCGCGCGUAGGCGGUUUGCUAAGUCAGAUGUGAAAGCCCCGGGCUCAACCUGGGAACUGCGUCUGUAACUGGCAGGCUAGAGUGCGGUAGAGGGGGGUGGAAUUCCCGGUGUAGCAGUGAAAUGCGUAGAGAUGUGGAGGAACACCGAUGGCGAAGGCAGCCCCCUGGGCCGACACUGACGCUCAUGCAAGAAAGCGUGGGGAGCAAACAG
rnacentral:rRNA from 1 species